rnacentral:rRNA from 1 species
GUGGGGAAUAUUGGGCAAUGGGCGAAAGCCUGACCCAGCAACGCCGCGUGAAGGAAGAAGGUCUUCGGAUCGUAAACUUCUAUCCUUGGUGAAGAUAAUGACGGUAGCCGAGAAGGAAGCCCCGGCUAACUACGUGCCAGCAGCCGCGGUAAUACGUAGGGUGCAAGCGUUAAUCGGAAUUACUGGGCGUAAAGGGCGCGUAGGCGGGAAUGCAAGUCAGAUGUGAAAACUCCGGGCUCAACUUGGAGAUUGCAUUUGAAACUGUGUUUCUUGAGGGCAGGAGAGGAAAGUGGAAUUCCAAGUGUAGCGGUGAAAUGCGUAGAGAUUUGGAAGAACACCAGUGGCGAAGGCGACUUUCUGGACGAUGUCUGACGCUGAGGCGCGAAAGCUAGGGGAGCGAACGGGAUUAGAAACCCGGGUAGUCC